CAUAUUUCAGGCCGGGUCGGGCCCGGGCCUAAAAGGCGGGCCAAAAUUUUUUUCGGGCCCGGCCCAUGGACUAGUCUAGUAAUGAUUAAUGUAACACAAAUUGGUAGAAAUAAAGUACGGUGUUGAUAUGCAUAGCAGAAUAACAAUAAAUGCAUUAAUGUGAACGAUAAUAUAAAGAACAAAAAUAAAAUAAAAUAAACGAG
rnacentral:lncRNA from 1 species